UACGUAGGGUGCAAGCGUUGUCCGGAAUUAUUGGGCGUAAAGAGCUCGUAGGCGGUUUGUCGCGUCUGCUGUGAAAACUCGGGGCUUAACCCCGGGCCUGCAGUGGGUACGGGCAGACUAGAGUGCGGUAGGGGAGACUGGAAUUCCUGGUGUAGCGGUGAAAUGCGCAGAUAUCAGGAGGAACACCGGUGGCGAAGGCGGGUCUCUGGACAGUUCCUGACACUGAGACACGAAGGCCAGGGGAGCAAACGGG
rnacentral:rRNA from 1 species